AUUGAACGCUGGCGGCAGGCCUAACACAUGCAAGUCGAACGGUAACAGAAAGCAGCUUGCUGCUUUGCUGACGAGUGGCGGACGGGUGAGUAAUGUCUGGGAAACUGCCUGAUGGAGGGGGAUAACUACUGGAAACGGUAGCUAAUACCGCAUAACGUCGCAAGACCAAAGAGGGGGACCUUCGGGCCUCUUGCCAUCGGAUGUGCCCAGAUGGGUUUAGCUAGUAGGUGGGGUAACGGCUCACCUAGGCGACGAUCCCUAGCUGGUCUGAGAGGAUGACCAGCCACACUGGAACUGAGACACGGUCCAGACUCCUACGGGAGGCAGCAGUGGGGAAUAUUGCACAAUGGGCGCAAGCCUGAUGCAGCCAUGCCGCGUGUAUGAAGAAGGCCUUCGGGUUGUAAAGUACUUUCAGCGGGGAGGAAGGGAGUAAAGUUAAUACCUUUGCUCAUUGACGUUACCCGCAGAAGAAGCACCGGCUAACUCCGUG
rnacentral:rRNA from 1 species